rnacentral:rRNA from 1 species
AUUGAACGCUGGCGGCAGGCCUAACACAUGCAAGUCGAGCGGCAGCGGGAAAGUAGCUUGCUACUUUUGCCGGCGAGCGGCGGACGGGUGAGUAAUGCCUGGGAAAUUGCCCAGUCGAGGGGGAUAACAGUUGGAAACGACUGCUAAUACCGCAUACGCCCUACGGGGGAAAGCAGGGGACCUUCGGGCCUUGCGCGAUUGGAUAUGCCCAGGUGGGAUUAGCUAGUUGGUGAGGUAAUGGCUCACCAAGGCGACGAUCCCUAGCUGGUCUGGGAGGAUGAUCAGCCACACUGGAACUGAGACACGGUCCAAAAUCCGACGGGAGGCAGCAGUGGGGAAUAUUGCACAAUGGGGGAAACCCUGAUGCAGCCAUGCCGCGUGUGUGAAGAAGGCCUUCGGGUUGUAAAGCACUUUCAGCGAGGAGGAAAGGUUGAUGCCUAAUACGUAUCAACUGUGACGUUACUCGCAGAAGAAGCACCGGCUAACUCCGUGCCAGCCGCCGCAGUAAAAC